AUGUGGUGGUUCACUCACUCCCUCAAAAUAGGUGCACUCAAUGUCACAUAUGGUGGAGUCACUCAUCUCACUCAAGUGGUGGGGGUUGUGGCUCUCCUCACAUGGGAAUUGUGGCAACUCAUCAUAUAUGGGGCUAUUGGUGAAGUCACUCUCACUGUCAAUAUGGUGGCACAAGUCACUCAAGUCAUCAUAUGUCGCCGUGGUCGAAGUGAAAAUCCCAUGCUCAACCAUCUCAUCGUCGUCGCCGUGGACGAAGGCCGAAGAUGGCACAUCAUCGCUCUCCUCCAUGACCGAAGGGAAAAUCCCAUGCUCGAUCAUCUCGUCACCGUCGCCGUGGAUGAAGGCCGAUGUAGGCGUACUCGUCGGAGGUAG
rnacentral:rRNA from 1 species